AAGAACCCGACCCGGCCUUGACGUGGUGGAAGUCAUCAGUUCGAGCCUGAUUAUCCCUA
rnacentral:tRNA from 1 species